UAUUAUUAAUAUGUCGAUAUUAUAAUAUAAAAUAAAAUAAUAAAAUUAAACUAUAUAUAUAAAUUUGUAAUCAAGAUAAUUAUAUAUAAGAUAAUAUUAUAAAUUAUCUGUAAUGAUAGUAAUCUCCGGUUAGAAUAAUAGUGAUUUUCUAGAAUUAAGUGUGUGGUGGUUGAAUAUUAUAAUCUAACGAAUAGAAAUGAUUAAAGUGAUAGAUCUAAUUGUUGAAAAUUUAUAUUUAUAAGAGUACAGCUACGAUACUCAUAUAAUUAUACUAUUGAUGUGUUGAUAUUAUAGUAAUAGAAUAAUAAAAUUAUAAGGUAUCAUUAGUGAUAUUAUUUAAUAAUAAAUUAUAUUAUACUAU
rnacentral:lncRNA from 1 species